UACGGAGGGGGCUAGCGUUGUUCGGAAUUACUGGGCGUAAAGGGCGCGUAGGCGGCCUUCUAAGUCGAACGUGAAAUCCCCGGGCUCAACCCGGGAACUGCGUCCGAUACUGGAAGGCUUGAAUCCGGGAGAGGGAUGCGGAAUUCCGAGGUGUAGCGGUGAAAUGCGUAGAUAUCGCUUGGAACGCCGAAGGUGAAAACAGGCUGCUGGGGUUGCGCCGACGCUGAGACACGAAAGCCAGGGGAGCAAACGGG
rnacentral:rRNA from 1 species